GCUACGUGGGGCAGCAGUGAGGAAUAUUGGUCAAUGGACGAGAGUCUGAACCAGCCAAGUAGCGUGAAGGAUGACUGCCCUAUGGGUUGUAAACUUCUUUUAUAUGGGAAUAAAACGUUCCACGUGUGGGAUUUUGUAUGUACCAUAUGAAUAAGGAUCGGCUAACUCCGUGCCAGUAGCCGCGGUAAUACGGAGGAGCCGAGCGUUAUCCGGAUUUAUUUGGUUUAAAGGGAGCGUAGGUGGAUUGUUAAGUCAGUUGUGAAAGUUUGCGGCUCAACCGUAAAAUUGCAGUUGAAACUGGCAGUCUUGAGUACAGUAGAGGUGGGCGGAAUUCGUGGUGUAGCGGUGAAAUGCUUAGAUAUCACGAAGAACUCCGAUUGCGAAGGCAGUUCACUGGACUGCAACUGACACUGAGGCUCGAAAGUGUGGGUAUCAAACAGGAUUAGAUACCCUAGUAGUC
rnacentral:rRNA from 1 species